rnacentral:rRNA from 1 species
GAUGAACGCUAGCUACAGGCUUAACACAUGCAAGUCGAGGGGUAACGAGAGGAAAGCUUGCUUUCCUUGUCGACGACCGGCGCACGGGUGAGUAACGCGUAUCCAACCUGCCCCCAACUAGGGAAUAACCUUGCGAAAGUAAGACUAAUACCCUAUAAUUUCCUCAGAUGUCAUCUGACGAGGAAUAAAGAUUUAUCGGUUGUGGAUGGGGAUGCGUCUGAUUAGCUUGUUGGCGGGGUAACGGCCCACCAAGGCAACGAUCAGUAGGGGUUCUGAGAGGAAGGUCCCCCACAUUGGAACUGAGACACGGUCUAAACUCCUACGGGAGGCAGCAGUGAGGAAUAUUGGUCAAUGGGCGGAAGCCUGAACCAGCCAAGUAGCGUGCAGGAUGACGGCCCUAUGGGUUGUAAACUGCUUUUAUACAGGAAUAAAGUUAGCCACGUGUGGUUAUUUGUAGGUACUGUAUGAAUAAGGACCGGCUAAUUCCGUGCCAGCAGCAGCCGCAG